UACGUAGGUGGCAAGCGUUGUCCGGAAUCACUGGGCGUAAAGCGCACGUAGGCGGACUCUUAAGUCGGUGGUGAAAUCCUGGAGCUCAACUCCAGAACUGCCUUCGAUACUGGGAGUCUCGAGUCCGAGAGAGGUGAGUGGAACUGCGAGUGUAGAGGUGAAAUUCGUAGAUAUUCGCAAGAACACCAGUGGCGAAGGCGGCUCACUGGCCCGAUACUGACGCUGAGGCACGAAAGCGUGGGGAGCAAACAGG
rnacentral:rRNA from 1 species